GACGAACGCUGGCGGCGUGCUUAACACAUGCAAGUCGAACGGAAAGGCCCUGCUUUUGUGGUGUGCUCGAGUGGCGAACGGGUGAGUAACACGUGAGUAACCUGCCCUUGACUUUGGGAUAACUUCAGGAAACUGGGGCUAAUACCGGAUAGGAGCUCCUGCUGCAUGGUGGGGGUUGGAAAGUUUCGGCGGUUGGGGAUGGACUCGCGGCUUAUCAGCUUGUUGGUGGGGUAGUGGCUUACCAAGGCUUUGACGGGUAGCCGGCCUGAGAGGGUGACCGGCCACAUUGGGACUGAGAUACGGCCCAGACUCGUACGGGAGGCAGCAGUGGGGAAUAUUGCACAAUGGGCGGAAGCCUGAGGCAGCAACGCCGCGUGCGGGAUGACGGCCUGCUGGUUGUAAACCGCUUUCGCCUGUGACGAAGCGUGAGUGACGGUAAUGAGUAAAGAAGCACCGGCUAACUACGUG
rnacentral:rRNA from 1 species